rnacentral:rRNA from 1 species
GUUAUAUGGUCAAGUGAAGAAGCGCAUACGGUGGAUGCCUUGGCAGUCAGAGGCGAUGAAAGACGUGGUAGCCUGCGAAAAGCUUCGGGGAGUCGGCAAACAGACUUUGAUCCGGAGAUCUCUGAAUGGGGGAACCCACCUAGGAUAACCUAGGUAUCUUGUACUGAAUCCAUAGGUGCAAGAGGCGAACCAGGGGAACUGAAACAUCUAAGUACCCUGAGGAAAAGAAAUCAACCGAGAUUCCCUUAGUAGUGGCGAGCGAACGGGGAUUAGCCCUUAAGCUUCAUUGAUUUUAGCGGAACGCUCUGGAAAGUGCGGCCAUAGUGGGUGAUAGCCCCGUACGCGAAAGGAUCUUUGAAGUGAAAUCGAGUAGGACGGAGCACGAGAAACUUUGUCUGAACAUGGGGGGACCAUCCUCCAAGGCUAAAUACUACUGACUGACCGAUAGUGAACCAGUACCGUGAGGGAAAGGCGAAAAGAACCCCGGAGAGGGGAGUGAAAUAGAACCUGAAACCGUAUGCGUACAAGCAGUGGGAGCCUACUUGUUAGGUGACUGCGUACCUUUUGUAUAAUGGGUCAGCGACUUAUAUUCAGUGGCAAGCUUAACCGUAUAGGGUAGGCGUAGCGAAAGCGAGUCUUAAUAGGGCGUUUAGUCGCUGGGUAUAGACCCGAAACCGGGCGAUCUAUCCAUGAGCAGGUUGAAGGUUAGGUAACACUGACUGGAGGACCGAACCCACUCCCGUUGAAAAGGUAGGGGAUGACUUGUGGAUCGGAGUGAAAGGCUAAUCAAGCUCGGAGAUAGCUGGUUCUCCUCGAAAGCUAUUUAGGUAGCGCCUCAUGUAUCACUCUGGGGGGUAGAGCACUGUUUCGGCUAGGGGGUCAUCCCGACUUACCAAACCGAUGCAAACUCCGAAUACCCAGAAGUGCCGAGCAUGGGAGACACACGGCGGGUGCUAACGUCCGUCGUGAAAAGGGAAACAACCCAGACCGCCAGCUAAGGUCCCAAAGUUGUGGUUAAGUGGUAAACGAUGUGGGAAGGCUUAGACAGCUAGGAGGUUGGCUUAGAAGCAGCCAUCCUUUAAAGAAAGCGUAAUAGCUCACUAGUCGAGUCGGCCUGCGCGGAAGAUGUAACGGGGCUCAAACCACACACCGAAGCUGCGGGUGUCACGUAAGUGACGCGGUAGAGGAGCGUUCUGUAAGCCUGUGAAGGUGAGUUGAGAAGCUUGCUGGAGGUAUCAGAAGUGCGAAUGCUGACAUGAGUAACGACAAUGGGUGUGAAAAACACCCACGCCGAAAGACCAAGGGUUCCUGCGCAACGUUAAUCGACGCAGGGUUAGUCGGUUCCUAAGGCGAGGCUGAAAAGCGUAGUCGAUGGGAAACAGGUUAAUAUUCCUGUACUUCUGGUUACUGCGAUGGAGGGACGGAGAAGGCUAGGCCAGCUUGGCGUUGGUUGUCCAAGUUUAAGGUGGUAGGCUGAAAUCUUAGGUAAAUCCGGGGUUUCAAGGCCGAGAGCUGAUGACGAGUCGUCUUUUAGAUGACGAAGUGGUUGAUGCCAUGCUUCCAAGAAAAGCUUCUAAGCUUCAGGUAACCAGGAACCGUACCCCAAACCGACACAGGUGGUCGGGUAGAGAAUACCAAGGCGCUUGAGAGAACUCGGGUGAAGGAACUAGGCAAAAUGGCACCGUAACUUCGGGAGAAGGUGCGCCGGCUAGGGUGAAGGAUUUACUCCGUAAGCUCUGGCUGGUCGAAGAUACCAGGCCGCUGCGACUGUUUAUUAAAAACACAGCACUCUGCAAACACGAAAGUGGACGUAUAGGGUGUGACGCCUGCCCGGUGCCGGAAGGUUAAUUGAUGGGGUUAGCGCAAGCGAAGCUCUUGAUCGAAGCCCCGGUAAACGGCGGCCGUAACUAUAACGGUCCUAAGGUAGCGAAAUUCCUUGUCGGGUAAGUUCCGACCUGCACGAAUGGCGUAACGAUGGCGGCGCUGUCUCCACCCGAGACUCAGUGAAAUUGAAAUCGCUGUGAAGAUGCAGUGUAUCCGCGGCUAGACGGAAAGACCCCGUGAACCUUUACUGUAGCUUUGCACUGGACUUUGAGCCUGCUUGUGUAGGAUAGGUGGGAGGCUUUGAAGCGUGGACGCCAGUUCGCGUGGAGCCAUCCUUGAAAUACCACCCUGGCAUGCUUGAGGUUCUAACUCUGGUCCGUGAUCCGGAUCGAGGACAGUGUAUGGUGGGCAGUUUGACUGGGGCGGUCUCCUCCUAAAGAGUAACGGAGGAGUACGAAGGUGCGCUCAGACCGGUCGGAAAUCGGUCGCAGAGUAUAAAGGCAAAAGCGCGCUUGACUGCGAGACAGACACGUCGAGCAGGUACGAAAGUAGGUCUUAGUGAUCCGGUGGUUCUGUAUGGAAGGGCCAUCGCUCAACGGAUAAAAGGUACUCCGGGGAUAACAGGCUGAUACCGCCCAAGAGUUCAUAUCGACGGCGGUGUUUGGCACCUCGAUGUCGGCUCAUCACAUCCUGGGGCUGAAGCCGGUCCCAAGGGUAUGGCUGUUCGCCAUUUAAAGUGGUACGCGAGCUGGGUUUAGAACGUCGUGAGACAGUUCGGUCCCUAUCUGCCGUGGACGUUUGAGAUUUGAGAGGGGCUGCUCCUAGUACGAGAGGACCGGAGUGGACGAACCUCUGGUGUUCCGGUUGUCACGCCAGUGGCAUUGCCGGGUAGCUAUGUUCGGAAAAGAUAACCGCUGAAAGCAUCUAAGCGGGAAACCGA